CAGUGAAAUGCAGGAAAAUUCUAAACAUGGAUAAGCAAUAGGUCAUGAGUUUGCGGAUCAAGACAAGAAAGAUUAAGGACACUAUCAAUUAGUAUAGAUAUCAUUCACAGUGAUCGAUCUAUCACAGAGUCUCACAGAUAUUAUAUAUACAUAUUAAAACAGGGCUUAAUAUUGGCGAGAAAAGGAGAGCUACCUAUACUACGCUAUGACAGCUUACAAACAGGAUUACCAAGAGUCGAGGGCUACAGGGUCAGAACAGAAUUCAAAGAGCAGCAACUGUAGUCAAAUUUGAAACAUAUAUGCUUCUCGGUGUCAUACCUAAAUUUUGAGAAAAUGGGAAGUAAGAGAUCAGAAGGCGAGGACAAUGAAAGUCGAACAACUAAGGAGUGGAGCUUACUGGUUAACAAAGCUCUUGGACAAAGCACACCAACGGGAAAUGAGAAUUGGGUCAUUCACCUGAAAAGCAAAGAUGGAGAUCACAUAUGGUAAAUCACAACAAAGGAAAGCACUAGAGAAUACCUUUGAAAGCUACAGAAAGGAGUUGAACCAUAAUAUACAUGGACACCAAUUACAAGGAAGAAAUGCAAGUUUCACAUAGGGAAGGAACGUUUUGAGGAGGCGGAUUAGGAAACAAAAAAGAGGAAAGUGUUUAAAGUGUAGGGAUUAAAUAUAGAAAGAGAUUUAGUUUCUUUUGGGCUAGGUGGACAAAGUUUAUUUUUCUUUGGGCUAUUGGCCUGUUUAUUUGCGAUUUUUUGUUUCUCGUCUUUCUUAUGCAAUAAAAUGAGCCCUGAGCUCAAAA
rnacentral:lncRNA from 1 species